GUCGGGAUAGCUCAGUUGGUAGAGUAUGAGACUCUUAAUCUCAGAGUCAUUGGUCUGAGCCCUACAUUGGGCA